rnacentral:rRNA from 1 species
GACGAACGCUGGCGGCGUGCUUAACACAUGCAAGUCGAACGGAAAGGCCCUGCUUUUGUGGGGUGCUCGAGUGGCGAACGGGUGAGUAACACGUGAGUAACCUGCCCUUGACUUUGGGAUAACUUCAGGAAACUGGGGCUAAUACCGGAUAGGAGCUCCUGCUGCAUGGUGGGGGUUGGAAAGUUUCGGCGGUUGGGGAUGGACUCGCGGCUUAUCAGCUUGUUGGUGGGGUAGUGGCUUACCAAGGCUUUGACGGGUAGCCGGCCUGAGAGGGUGACCGGCCACAUUGGUACUGCGAUACGGCCCAGAAUCCUACGGGAGGCAGCAGUGGGGAAUAUUGCACAAUGGGCGGAAGCCUGAUGCAGCAACGCCGCGUGCGGAAUGACGGCCUUCGGGUUGUAAACCGCUUUCGCCUGUGACGAAGCGUGAGUGACGGUAAUGGGUAAAGAAGCACCGGCUAACUACGUG